rnacentral:tRNA from 2 species
GGGCAAUUAGUUUAGUGGUAUAACGUCCGUUUUGCAUAUGAAAAACUGCAAACCUACGGAAGGUCGUGAUUUCGAUUAUCACAUUGUCCA